rnacentral:rRNA from 1 species
AUUGAACGCUGGCGGCAGGCCUAACCCAUGCAAGUCGAACGAGUGGCGGACGGGUGAGUAAUGUCUGGGAAACUGCCUGAUGGAGGGGGAUAACUACUGGAAACGGUAGCUAAUACCGCAUACCAUCGGAUGUGCCCAGAUGGGAUUAGCUAGUAGGUGGGGUAAAGGCUCACCUAGGAGACGAUCCCUAGCUGGUCGGAGAGGAUGACCAGGCACACUGGAACUGAGACACGGUCCAGACUCCUACGUGAGGCAGCAGUGGGGAAGUUUGCACAAUGGGAGCAAGCCUGAUGCAGCCAUGCCGCGUGUAUGAAGAAGGCCUUCGGGUUGUAAAGUUCUGUCAGCGGGGAGGCGUGACCCGUAGAAGAAGCACCGGCUAACUCCGUGCCAGCAGCCGCGGUAAUUC